GUCCGGGCGCCGCCGGGGAGCCCCAGAAGGGGGUCGCCGGAGAAGGAAGAGUGAUUGGCCCAGGAGAUACCCUGCCUCCCACUUGAACUCCUUGCCCUAAAAGAAGGGAAGCAAAACUCCUGAUGGAGAAAAAAAAUUCUGCUGGAGACAGAAUUUUACGUACUGGAGGCCUCACAAUGGACCCAGACCAGUUUACGUCAGAUCAACUCCAACGCUGGACCCAGUCUGGAAAAAGAAAUACUCAAAGAAAGCUGGAGAGCUCACAGUGCAAAAGCUGCAGAGCUCAGAUCUGAGAGGAACUUUCUGCACCCUCAAAGAAAGAAGUGGGCACAGUGGGCUCGGCAGGUGCCUUUGCCCGAUUGCUCCCCGAGAACCGUCAAAGGUCUCCUUUGGAUCCAGUUUCUGACACCAUGACUUUUAAAAGACAAGCUGAGGCAUAUUAAAACUUUGAAGAGUUUGAGAGAUGCUGUGUUGAGAAUUGAACAUAGAUUCGAAUCAGGCAGUGCCAAACCAAAAGUGGUUAGGGGCACUCUGCGAACAGGAGUUGGGGAAAAGGCUUUUACAGAGCAGAUGCAGAAGCAAAGCAAGGGUAUUAUUUGGCCACAGCUUAAGAGGUUGCCUCAUUUAAGAAAGCCUAGUUGGUUGGGGCGCCUGGGUGGCUCAG